UGCGAGAGUAUCCCAACUGGCAGAGGAAGUAGACUUAGAAUCUAUUCAGUGGGGGUUCGAAUCCCCCCUCUUGCAU
rnacentral:tRNA from 1 species